CUGGAGAAAGGUAAAGACACACACUCUCAUGAACAGACGCAUACACACUAGCUAACAGACACACACAUUUACUGACAGAGACACACUCAGCGACAGACAUACAUACACUCACUUACAAAACAUACACUUUCACUGACAAACAUACACUCACUAACAGACAUCAGACACACUCAGUAACAGACACACUCAGUAACAGACACACUAACACCCACACACUGUAAC